GGGAAUGUGGCUUAGUGGUAAAGUGCUUGUCUAGCAUACAUGAAGCCCUGGGUUUGAUUCCUCAGCACCA
rnacentral:tRNA from 1 species